GGGGCUGAUUCUGGAUUCGACGGGAUUUGCGAAACCCAAGGUGCAUGUCGAGGUGCGGUAGGCCUCGUUAAUAAACCGCAAAAAAAUAGUCGCAAACGACGAAAACUACGCACUAGCAGCUUAAUAACCUGCUUAGAGCCCUCUCUCCCUAGCCUCCGCUCUUAGGACGGGGAUCAAGAGAGGUCAAAACCAAAAGAGAUCGUGUGGAUGCCUUGCUUGGGGUUGAAGCAUUAAAACUAAUCAAGCUAGUUUAUUAGUGGCGUGUCUGUCCGCAGCUGGUAGGCGAAUGUAAAGACUAGACUAAACAUGUAGUGCCGACGGUGUAGAAAUUUCGGACGCGGGUUCAACUCCCGCCAGCUCCACCA
rfam:Pragia fontium strain 24613, complete genome.